rnacentral:rRNA from 1 species
CGCAUCUGUGCAUGCAGCAUAUCAAUAAGCGGAGGAAAAGGGAAUCGGUCGCCCCAGUACCUACGCUUAGGAUGUUGAAGAUGUAGCACAUCAUACACGCAUGACACACUGCAUAUCAAUAAGCGGAGGAAAAGAAACUAACAAGGAUUCCCCUAGUAACGACGAGUGAAGCGGGAAGAGCUCAAAUUUGAAAUCUUAAAGGGUUUCCCUUUACGAAUUGUAGUUUAAAGAAGUGUUUUCUGUUGAGGUUUUGGUAAAAGUUCUUUGGAAUAGGACAUCAUAGAGGGUGAGAAUCCCGUAUUUGACCUUUACUUUCAACUUUGUGAUACACUUUCAAAGAGUCGGAUUGUUUGGGAAUGCAGUCCAAAAUGGGUGGUAAAUUUCAUCUAAAGCUAAAUAUUGGCGAGAGACCGAUAGCGAACAAGUACCGUGAGGGAAAGAUGAAAAGAACUUUGAAAAGAGAGUUAAACAGUACGUGAAAUUGUCAAAAGGGAAGCGUUUGACACCAGUGUUGUUUUUCUGAAAAUCAAUUAAAGAACUGUUUAUGCUAAGUUGUUUAGACUUUAUCAGCUAAUCUGCUUAGUUUUGAGCUUUUCUUUAAUGCACUUUUCAGUUAACAAGUCAACAUCAAUUUCUUUUGCUGUAAAAAAGCUUGAGGAAGGUGGCUUGAGAUUCGUCUUAUGUGUUUAUAGCCUCUUGCCUAUGCAGUCGGAGAGAUUGAGGUCUGCAGCGUAGAUCCUUCGGGGCUAAAUGCAUUUGUGCUAAGUUAUAGCAUUUUAUAGACAACUUGUUGACUAUGAUUUGUCUCGUAGCUUACUCGCUUAUGUUAUUUUACCUACGCUUAGGAUGUUGAAGAUGUAGCACAUCAU